AGUUUGAUCCUGGCUCAGGACGAACGCUGGCGGCGUGCCUAAUACAUGCAAGUCGAGCGAACCACUUCGGUGGUUAGCGGCGGACGGGUGAGUAACACGUGGGCAACCUGCCUGUAAGACUGGGAUAACUUCGGGAAACCGGAGCUAAUACCGGAUAAUCCUUUUCCUCUCAUGAGGRAAAGCUGAAAGACGGUUUCGGCUGUCACUUACAGAUGGGCCCGCGGCGCAUUAGCUAGUUGGUGAGGUAACGGCUCACCAAGGCGACGAUGCGUAGCCGACCUGAGAGGGUGAUCGGCCACACUGGGACUGAGACACGGCCCAGACUCCUACGGGAGGCAGCAGUAGGGAAUCUUCCACAAUGGACGAAAGUCUGAUGGAGCAACGCCGCGUGAGCGAUGAAGGCCUUCGGGU
rnacentral:rRNA from 1 species